AUCUUCCACAAUGGACGAAAGUCUGAUGGAGCAACGCCGCGUGAGUGAAGAAGGAUCUCGGUUCGUAAAACUCUGUUGCAAGGGAAGAACAAGUAGCGUAGUAACUGGCGCUACCUUGACGGUACCUUGUUAGAAAGCCACGGCUAACUACGUGCCAGCAGCCGCGGUAAUACGUAGGUGGCAAGCGUUGUCCGGAAUUAUUGGGCGUAAAGCGCGCGCAGGUGGUUCUUUAAGUCUGAUGUGAAAGCCCCCGGCUCAACCGGGGAGGGUCAUUGGAAACUGGGGAACUUGAGUGCAGAAGAGGAUAGUGGAACUCCAAGUGUAGCGGUGAAAUGCGUAGAGAUUUGGAGGAACACCAGUGGCGAAGGCGACUGUCUGGUCUGUAACUGACACUGAGGCGCGAAAGCGUGGGGAGCAAACAGGAUUA
rnacentral:rRNA from 1 species